GAUGAACGCUGGCGGCGUGCUUAACACAUGCAAGUCGAACGAACCUUCGGGUUAGUGGCGGACGGGUGAGUAACACGUGGGUAAUCUGCCCUUGGGUUGGGGACAACGGUUGGAAACGACCGCUAAUACCGAAUAAGACCACGGUUCCUUCGGGAACUGAGGCCAAAGAAGGUUUCGGCCUUCGCCUGAGGAUGAGCCCGCGGCCCAUUAGCUAGUUGGUAGGGUAACGGCCUACCAAGGCGAUGAUGGGUAGCUGGUCUGAGAGGAUGAUCAGUCACACUGGAACUGAGACACGGUCCAGACUCCUACGGGAGGCAGCAGUGGGGAAUAUUGCGCAAUGGACGAAAGUCUGACGCAGCAAUGCCGCGUGGGUGAUGAAGGCUCUCGGGUCGUAAAGCCCUGUCAGAGGGGAAGAACUGGUUGAUCAGGAAAUGGGUCAACUUUGACGGUACCCUCAAAGGAAGCACCGGCUAACUCCGUGCCAGCAGCCGCGGUAAUACGGGGGGUGCUAGCGUUGUUCGGAAUCACUGGGCGUAAAGCGCGCGUAGGCGGAUGAUUAAGUCAGACGUGAAAGCCCACGGCUCAACUGUGGAACUGCAUUUGAAACUGGUCGUCUAGAGUGCGGGAGAGGGAAGGGGAAUUCCCGGUGUAGAGGUGAAAUUCGUAGAUAUCGGGAGGAAUACCGGUGGCGAAGGCGCCUUCCUGGACCGACACUGACGCUGAGGCGCGAAAGCGUGGGGAGCAAACAGGAUUAGAUACCCUGGUAGUCCACGCCGUAAACGAUGAGCACUAGGUGUUGCGGGUAUCGACCCCUGCAGUGCCGAAGUUAACGCAUUAAGUGCUCCGCCUGGGGAGUACGGUCGCAAGAUUA
rnacentral:rRNA from 1 species